rnacentral:rRNA from 1 species
UACGUAGGGUGCGAGCGUUAAUCGGAAUUACUGGGCGUAAAGAGCUCGUAGGCGGCUUGUCGCGUUGUCCGUGAAAACUCACAACUCAAUUGUGGGCGUGCGGGCGAUACGGGCAGACUGGAGUACUGCAGGGGAGACUGGAAUUCCUGGUGUAGCGGUGGAAUGCGCAGAUAUCAGGAGGAACACCGGUGGCGAAGGCGGGUCUCUGGGCAGUAACUGACGCUGAGGAGCGAAAGCGUGGGGAGCGAACAGG